UAAAGUACGACGUCGUGAGGUUUGCUAUUAGUUUUUCCGUAGGUCACGGUCAAGGGAGGAACCGGGCCCAGAGCGGGUGGGGGAAGUGGCCCAAACCUGCCAGCCAACCUAGACCCCGGGUCCAGCCUCCGCCUGAGACCCAUCUUGGUCCUCAGCGUUCUACACGUUUCUGCUUCACCCUCCCCCCAGUUCCGUCGGGAAGUCGGAAUCUCCAGAUCUGUUUCUCUGUAUAGGACUGUCGGUGAUCCGGCUGGAGACCUUGAGGUAAAUCAGCAUCAGUCUAGGGGCCUUGGUGCCCUGACUCGGAUCCGUGGAUUCAAGGUAGAUCACGGGCCUUGCCCAGCUGCGCGUGGAGACCUCUGGCUUCUCCCUCUCUCUGCCUUUUUUGUUUUCUAAGGCUUCCCUCUUUGGCGGGAAGCUGGGAUUUUGCACCAUUUGGGGAAAGGAUUUCUUGAACCUCAUUCCUAAACUGCUCCCGCAACAUUGCCAAAUCCAGUGCUAUGUCGGGUAGAAUUCACAGGACUAUUAAGGUUUUAUUUCUGUUACCAAGAAAGCAGGGUGAAUGAUUUUGGACUCUUCUGUUGCCUAGUCUCCUAUCUCACCAUCUACUGACACUCCUUUGCUCUCGUGCCACCUUCCAGUGCGCCCAACUCCAGUAAUCCCACUCUAUGCAGCUCCAUGUAAUCAGAGACCUGGGGAAUCAGAGAACCCUCCCGUUAUUCUAGACAAUCUUCUCUUAACUACAUUCCAACUCUUAAGGGGGAAACAGAGCCUUUUCUACUCUACAAGUACCUGUACUUCUCCGGAUUCCCUUGGCCAAUCCCAAACCCUUCUCCCCUAUGCCCUUCUGUACCCAAUGAUACCCCAGGUUGAAAAUGCUGAUCCUGCUGGAGUAAGCCAUAGUGGAACUUCCUAUCACCCAGGAUCAGGGAAAAUAUGCCCACUUAGGGAAGUGGCAAAGGCACAAUCAAGAGUACAUGAGCCCUUCUUUUUAACCGAUUUAGCCCAAUGCAAACAAAGACUGGGCCAAUUUUCUGAAGACCCUAGUAGGUUCACGGGGGAUUUCAGGCCCUAACCCUGGCCCUUGAUUUAACUUGGAAGGACGUCCAAAUGAUCUUACCUACCUGCUGUACCCAUGAGGAGAAGCAGAGGAUAUGGGCAGCAGCACAGGUGUACGCCGACCAGUUUGCCAGGGACCAGCCCAACAUUUAUGUCCCAAAUCAUAUAAGCCCAUUUGGGAUUGUAAUUGCCGGGGGCGGGGGGGGGAAGGCCAGGAAUCACAAGGUCCAGUGCCUAUUAGAAGGAACGAGAAAGUGCAUUUGGAAGCCAGUCAAUUAUGAAAAGGUCAAGGAAGUGACCCAAGAGGAAGAAGAAAGCCCUGUUCUCUUUCAGGGACAGCUUGUGGAGGCUUUUUAGAAAAUUUGCUAACAGAUCUCUCUGCUCCCAAGGUUCAGUCCCUGCUGCCCCUGAUAUUAGGCAAAAACUCCAAAAGUUAGUUAGGCCCACAAACUCCUAGAGGUGGCCUUUGGAAUAUUUUAUAAUGGAGAUCAAACUGAGGAAGAGGAUAGAACUCAACAUGAAAAAAGGCACGCCGAGGCUCACGCUAAACUGAUAGCUGUUGGUGUCAGCCGUGCCUUGCAACCUCAGGGCAACCCAAAGGGGGCAAGAAGGUUCAACCAUCAGUCCGGAGGCGAGACCAAGGGGGAAUGCUUCAAAUGCAAGUCACCUGACCAUUGGGCCCAUGAGUACCAGAAGAAGCUCCCGGGCCUUGCCCAGUCUGCAAACAGACCAGUCAUUGGAGAUGGGACUGCCCUUGGUCCCCAAGGGGAAUGGGGGCUCCUGCUCCUGAGAUGGCCAUGCUGGAUAACUGAAGCAGCCCAGGGAUUCUGGCGGCUCCCCCCGCCCCCACAAGAUGUCUAUUCCUUUGAGGAGCCCCUGGUGGCAGGAACCUGAAGACCCACCUCCCAGCUAUUCCCAUGAACCUGCCCAAGACCUCAAAUACCUCUUCAAGAAGGUGAUCCCCAAGCCAGUGACAACUGCAUUGAUAAGUAAACUCUCACUUUGACAUUAAUUUCUUUCGGGCUCUCCGGGUAACAAAAGCAAGAUAAGUGACAGUAGGCUGGGAGCCCAUAUUUGCUACUGGGCUCUUGUUUACUGCAGGAUUUCUUUUAACACUACUUGCAUUCCGGUUGCUUCCUAAAUUAGAACUCUGAUGUCAUUAUGAAGUUAUUAGUCACCCCAACUUUUCUCCCCCUCCUUUGGGGAUUCAUGUCAGGGGAGUGAGGAUCCAACACAAUAGUACAUCUCAAGAAUUAUUGUUCAGGGAGAGAAUCUGUCUCAGUGCUGGGUUCUACCAUCCCAGUCCUCAAAGCGACGCCUAUAAGCUUAAAGAACUAAGCUACACAUCCAGUAAUGAUGACCUUGAACUUACUCUGGCUGAAGGUCCUGCGACCCCUGCUCCCCUCAGAGUCCACAUCCAGCCCUUGGCACAGCUUCCAUGCCUGGACCUGACCCCUCUCGUUAGUGCAUCCAGCACACAAAGCUCCCCCAAUCAAAGCAUAUUUGUCUUCUACUCUGUCAUAAAGGUAACUCAUCCUGCUGCCCAUGCCAGAAGCCUGGACUAAAUUCUGCAAUGCACCAGCAGUUGACAUCACCGCCAUUACCCCUAAUUUUUAUUGCGAAGACCAAACAGGCAACGCCACCCAUUGGUUCCUCCAAGAUCAGCUGGCUGGUGGGAUGUGUCUCCUGGACAGGCAUGGCGCCAAGCGUCUAACACACAUCUUCCCUGCGUGUAGUACAUGUUUUUUGCCUCUCCCAAAGCCUUCGAAAAGACUCAUACACCCUUAUUCAGUGGUGGGAUCCUUUCUUCCAACUGUACUGGAACCCCCCCCUUGGGCAGACUCUACUGAAGUGGUUUAAUUCCACAACAGUGUGUCAGGCAUGUGCCUCUCCCAGACAUCUAUUCCUUUGUGGUCCAGGUGCAAACUGACUGUCCUCUUCAAAAAACCCCAAUUCCUCUUUGCCUUUCCUGGGAUUAGCUGUGGCCUUUCUUUGUAUAGACAGUGCUCUGUUUACAGGACAAUGUAACACUAGGCCAACUGAGUAACCAAACAAACCCAGGUAUUGCCAUCUAUAACAUCACCCACCCCUGGGGCAAAAGGGCAAUUGGUCUCCUUUUGGCAGAAAAUGGAGCUGCCAUUGGUUUGGUGGCCCCUUGGGGAGGCUUUGUUUAUCGUGAAGUGGUGUUCCACAAUCUUUCAGAUGCCCUGUCCUGAGUGAAUCCACAGGGAAUGCACUCACCAGACUCUCAUUGUCUCUAAGUUCCUUGGCUAGUAAAGUGAUGGCUAAUAGACUGGCCUUAGACUUCCUCCUAGCCAAACAAGGAGUAUGUGCAGUUAUCAAGACAUGUUGCACCUACAUUGAUAACUCUGGGCUAGUAGAAGAGGACAUCAAGAAAAUGUGACCACGCCAAAUGGCUUCAUUCCUUCAGACAGGGUAACCCAAGCGCUGACCUAGACUGCAAUUAAGGAGAUGUUAUCAAGUGAGACCUGGUUCUUGCCCCCUGCUUGGACCUCUAGUUGCCAUAAUCCUUUUACUGAACUUUGGCCCCUGCCUUUUUAAUCUGCUUGUUAAGUUUGCUUCCAGGUUGCAACAGUUCCACAUCAAGAUGAUGGUGAUGUAGGGAUUCCAGCCAUUCCCUGACAUAGAUCCUACUGGAAUAGCAGAAGUCACCCUGGGGCCCCUGGACAAAACAGGGCAAGAGUUCCGUGGCCCCAGUUAGGUAGGGUCCAUGAGCCCAGUGCCAGCCUGAAGAAGCUACAGAAGACAGACCUCCGCCCCUCAUCCUCCCAAUAAAGAGUUCUUGGGGUCCACGUCACUUGGGAGAUUUGAGGUAAGAGAUAGGUGGCUGAGCAGCUGCAACCAUUUCUCCUGCUGACACUUCAAGAUAAGGUACUAGCAGGAGCUUCGGGCCCUGACUGGGUGGAAGACAAAGUGACUACAGUUUCCUCAUUCUUGUGGUCAAGGGGAUUUUCCAGCCCAACACAUCUGUUUCACAGUCUUGGUCUCUUCUGGAUUCUUGGUCUCGUUGGAUUCUUUCCUCAAAGACAUCUAUAAGUCUCUGAAGUGCUUAGCAAUAAAGCAAAGGUGGUGAGUUGA